rnacentral:lncRNA from 1 species
AAAAACCCAAAGAAGCUGAGAAGAAACCGGAAAAGCCCAAAGACGGUGAGAAGAAACCGGAGAAGCCUAAAGAGGCGGCGGCGGAGAAAAAGCCUGAUAAACCGAAAGAGGCAGCGGCUGCGCCGCCACAGAAGGUUGCGGAACCUGCUGCAGCUGCUCCUUUACCACCGAUGGCGUAUGCAGUUGGGUAUACUUGCUCCGAAGGUUAUUAUAAUGGCUAUGGUGGAGGACCUAGCUAUUAUGGUGGACCACCCCAACAACCGUUCCCAUGUUACGAGACUUACGGUAGGCCCGUUUAUGACAGCUGGGGCGGCGGCGGCGGUGGCGGUGGCUACUACAGGUACGGCGGGCGUACAGGUGAAUGUUUUAGUGAAGAAAACCCACAAGGUUGCUCGAUCAUG